rnacentral:misc_RNA from 1 species
UCCAUCUUAAAAUACACUGUCCAGAGAUAUUGUUCAAAAUCAAAAUGAAACCAGCAUCUUUAUCUUACUUAAGCCAUCUAAGUCCCUGACAAAAUCACUGGUCUAGAUGAACCUGUUUUAAACAUGAAAACUGGUUCAAUAUCAUUUAACCUGACAUGUGCCUAACAAGUUACAAAGGAGGGGGGAUGAGUCCCGAAAGACAAUAGUCACUUUGAGCCAACUUGAUUCUCUGAAUUGCUUGAAGGAGAUUCCUGCUCUGUUCUCUUUCUCUUUCGACAAAUAGUUGGAAGCCCCAAUUGCAAAGUUGUGUUGGAAUCUUCAUCAUCUACUCCAUCUUCACAUGCAGUGUCGGAAUCCAGACUCUCCUUACUCUCUUUUAAAAUUGAAUACUUCUUUUCCAAUGGGCGAUCAUAUUCAAGAAAAGGUGGCGGUAAACUAGCACUUAAAGGAAAUAACCCUCGGAGCUCUUCUACCUGUAUCUCAUGAGAUGGCAAAAGCAAUUGUGUCAGAAAGGAACCGCCCUGUCUACGUAAGGUCUCACACUCCAGCGCAGACCUCUCCUCCUGUUUCCUAG